CCAGACUCCUACGGGAGGCAGCAGUGGGGAAUAUUGGGCAAUAGGCGCAAGCCUGACCCAGCAACGCCGCGUGAAGGAAGAAGGCUUUCGGGUUGUAAACUUCUUUUGUCAGGGACGAAGCAAGUGACAGUACCUGACGAAUAAGCCACGGCUAACUACGUGCCAGCAGCCGCGGUAAUACGUAGGUGGCAAGCGUUAUCCGGAUUUACUGGGUGUAAAGGGCGUGUAGGCGGGAGUGCAAGUCAGAUGUGAAAACCACGGGCUCAACCUGUGGCCUGCAUUUGAAACUGUACUUCUUGAGUACUGGAGAGGCAGACGGAAUUCCUAGUGUAGCGGUGAAAUGCGUAGAUAUUAGGAGGAACACCAGUGGCGAAGGCGGUCUGCUGGACAGCAACUGACGCUGAGGCGCGAAAGCGUGGGGAGCAAACAGGAUUAGAUACCCCUGUAA
rnacentral:rRNA from 1 species